GUGCUCACUUUAAUAGCACAUCUACUAAAGAAGAUUAGCAUGGCCCCUGCACAAGGAUGGCAUGCAAAUUAAUGAAGCAUUCCAUAUUUUU
rnacentral:snRNA from 1 species